rnacentral:lncRNA from 1 species
CUGCUGAUUAUUUCUUUCUUUUCUUUUUUUUGGUACCAGGAAUCGAACUCAGGACCUUGUGCUUUCCAGGCAGGUACUUGUGCCACUGAGCUAUAUUCCCGGCCCAACUGCUGAUCAUUUCUACUUCUGAGAUGGAAAUAUAUCCCGAUUAUCAUCAGUGAUAGUCGUAGUUACUUUGAGAGUAAAUAUGCAUCUGUAUUUAUCAAAAAUUUUACACUGAGGAUCAGCCAAAUUGAACAUGUAGAUGCUGGUCCAGGAAGUCGGAGAGCACUUUCCAGUGGAAACAGAGGGAAUAAAAGAGGGCUGGGAGACACAAAGCAAACCCCUAAAGAAAACCUAGAGAUGUGCACUGUCCCACUGCCUUCCUCUCCGCUCCGCUCCUUGCUGUAAGAGACCCCUUACGUAGUGAGAUGAUGAUUUGAGACAAACAGCCUUCCUCCCUCAUCUCCUUGGAUCAAGCUUUAAAGAAACCCUAUUUUUCCUUUUCAGCAAAAUAAAUGGUAAGCAGGGGAGAGCAAAGGAACCUAAG